ACGUAGGUGGCAAGCGUUGUCCGGAAUUAUUGGGCGUAAAGCGCGCGCAGGCGGUCCUUUAAGUCUGACGGUGAAAUGCCGGGGCUCAACCCCGUGCCCGCCGCGGAUACUGGAGGGCUGGAGACACGUAGAGGCAAGCGGAAUUCCGGGUGUAGCGGUGGAAUGCGUAGAGAUCCGGAAGAACACCGGAGGCGAAGGCGGCUUGCUGGGCGUUGUCUGACGCUGAGGCGCAAAAGCGUGGGGAGCGAACAGGA
rnacentral:rRNA from 1 species